rnacentral:lncRNA from 10 species
GUGCUUCUUAGCAGCCUUCUGGAAGAGAUCUCGCAGGUCUGCUUUUGUGUGGGACCCCUCCAUCAUGGCCUGCACAAAGGCUGUGGACUCGCUGGUACAGGAACGCACAGUCUCAGUCCGUCCCUCCCGGAACAUUCUGGUCAUUGAGGCCUCAUAGGUCAGGCAGAACUUACCCCUGUCCCGGAAGUGAGCCAGCUGCAGCGCGAUCUGCACAAAGGCAUCAGGGCUGGUCCGGCACUUCUUGAUGAGGCCUUUGCCAAAGGGCAGGAACUGGAAGCAGUACAACUCCACGUCGUCUGCCAACGCCUUGGCCACCUGGUAGGAACUCUCGAUGACCGCCUGUUUUGGAAUGUCCCACUGCAGCCGUGUAGGAGGUGCGAGCGCAGGGUUCGGUUUGCCCAGGCAGUGCCCGGUCUCCGUGUAGCCCAGGUGGAAGCUGUCUGUGCCCAGGACAAACUCCCAGAGGUGCCCAAUGAUGGGAGCAUCUGCCCACGCAUGCUCUGCAUUGAGACCCAACUGGCCAUUCUUGAAGGAAAUGAGAGUGAAGGAUUUGUCAAACCACCUGCAGGAAGAGUAGACACAUGAAGAACCAAAGCUGGGAAUGUCCAGAGGUGCCUGACCUGCAACCCCAACCUUUAACCCUAAUUACUAACCCUAUUCUCUCUCUCUUUUUCUCUCACUUUUUUUUUAAAUUGAGAUGGAAUCUU